rnacentral:rRNA from 1 species
UAGUAACGGCGAGUGAAGCGGCAACAGCUCAAAUUUGAAAUCUGGCUUCGGCCCGAGUUGUAAUUUGCAGAGGAAGCUUUAGGCGCGGCACCUCCUGAGUCCCCUGGAACGGGGCGCCACAGAGGGUGAGAGCCCCGUAUAGUUGGAUGCCUAGCCUGUGUAAAGCUCCUUCGACGAGUCGAGUAGUUUGGGAAUGCUGCUCAAAAUGGGAGGUAAAUUUCUUCUAAAGCUAAAUACCGGCCAGAGACCGAUAGCGCACAAGUAGAGUGAUCGAAAGAUGAAAAGCACUUUGAAAAGAGGGUUAAAUAGCACGUGAAAUUGUUGAAAGGGAAGCGCUUGUGACCAGACUUGCGCCGGGCUGAUCAUCCGGUGUUCUCACCGGUGCACUCUGCCCGGCUCAGGCCAGCAUCGGUUCUCGCGGGGGGAUAAAGGCCCUGGGAACGUAGCUCCUCCGGGAGUGUUAUAGCCCGGGGCGCAAUGCCCUCGCGGGGACCGAGGUUCGCGCUCUGCAAGGAUGCUGGCGUAAUGGUCAUCAGCGACCCGUCUUGAAACACGGACCAAGGAGUCAAGGUUUUGCGCGAGUGUUUGGGUGUAAAACCCGCACGCGUAAUGAAAGUGAACGUAGGUGAGAGCUUCGGCGCAUCAUCGACCGAUCCUGAUGUUCUCGGAUGGAUUUGAGUAGGAGCGUUAAGCCUUGGACCCGAAAGAUGGUGAACUAUGCUUGGAUAGGGUGAAGCCAGAGGAAACUCUGGUGGAGGCUCGCAGCGGUUCUGACGUGCAAAUCGAUCGUCAAAUCUGAGCAUGGGGGCGAAAGACUAAUCGAACCAUCUAGUAGCUGGUUACCGCCGAAGUUUCCCUCAGGAUAGCAGUGUUGUCUUCAGUUUUAUGAGGUAAAGCGAAUGAUUAGGGACUCGGGGGCGCUUUUUAGCCUUCAUCCAUUCUCAAACUUUAAAUAUGUAAGAAGCCCUUGUUACUUAACUGAACGUGGGCAUUCGAAUGUACCAACACUAGUGGGCCAUUUUUGGUAAGCAGAACUGGCGAUGCGGGAUGAACCGAACGCGGGGUUAAGGUGCCGGAGUGGACGCUCAUCAGACACCACAAAAGGCGUUAGUACAUCUUGACAGCAGGACGGUGGCCAUGGAAGUCGGAAUCCGCUAAGGACUGUGUAACAACUCACCUGCCGAAUGUACUAGCCCUGAAAAUGGAUGGCGCUCAAGCGUCCCACCCAUACCCCGCCCUCAGGGUAGAAACGAUGCCCUGAGGAGUAGGCGGCCGUGGAGGUCAGUGACGAAGC